rnacentral:rRNA from 1 species
GUGCCAGCAGCCGCGGUAAGACAGAGGGUGCAAACGUUGUUCGGAAUUACUGGGCGUAAAGCGUGUGUAGGCGGCCAUAUAAGUCGGAUGUGAAAGCCCUGGGCUCAACCCAGGAAGUGCACUCGAUACUGUGUGGCUCGAGUACUGGAGAGGUUGGUGGAAUUCUCGGUGUAGAGGUGAAAUUCGUAGAUAUCGAGAGGAACACCGGUGGCGAAGGCGGCCAACUGGACAGAUACUGACGCUGAGACACGAAAGCGUGGGGAGCAAACAGGAUUAGAAACCCGUGUAGUCC